rnacentral:lncRNA from 1 species
UUAAGGAUCCCAUAUAGAUCAAGCUGACGGUAUCCAGAUGAAGUGCCAUUCAGAAUGUGAAUGAGCGAGAAGAUCAAGUGAAGACUUGUAAUGUAGAAAUAUGAAAAUUAAACUAUAGAUUAGUUUAAUGAACUAAAUGUAUCCUUGGUGGCGGAUAAAAGUCACUCUUGUAAGAUGAAAGGGAUAAUGUAAUUAUCAUUAU